rnacentral:rRNA from 1 species
UACGUAGGGGGCAAGCGUUGUCCGGAUUUAUUGGGCGUAAAGAGCGUGUAGGCGGCCUGACAGGUCUGCUGUGAAAACUCGAGGCUCAACCUCGAGAUGUCGGCGGAAACCGUCUGGCUAGAGUCCGGAAGAGGAGAGUGGAAUUCCUGGUGUAGCGGUGAAAUGCGCAGAUAUCGUCUGGAACGCCAAAGGUGAAAACAGACUGCUGGGAGUGUGCUGACGCUGAGACACGAAAGCCAGGGGAGCAAACGGG